UUCUAUAAAUGUUCAAAGACUACCCUCUCAACCAGGGGGUCUGAAGGGGCAAACGAAUCUGGGUCGUUCAAUCAGGUUGCAACAGUAAAUCUCAAGUCCCACUUUUCACCACAGCCGUUCGAUCGGUGAAUAUUUUUCUCACUUGUUUAGUUUCCGACUAAGUCAGUGACGCAUGGGGCCAGCUACGUGCGGGGGCCGACUGCUGGAGACUGCGACGCUGCUCGUUUCGUGUCACCUUUUUUCGCGUCCGCGGUGAAACCCUAGAUCGAGAAAAGCAAGCAGCCAAUCCCCCCUUCCUAGAGCCCAGCACCAUUCUCCUCUCCUCUCCCCCGCAGUGAAAACCAGAUCGAGUCGUGCUGCAUCCUGCCGGCGGCCGUGCGGCUCGGGGAUGGCGGGAUUUGGCGCGGGGGAGACCAGAAGCAGCGACGACGCAUCGACCGGCAGCGGCGACGACACAUCCGCGGCUCCGAUUCCCCUGCCAGUGCGGCGGCGGGGAGCGCGCGUUGAGCGACGCCGGCCGCAGGCGACGCACGCCGAGCUGGCGACGACGAUCUUCUGCGUGGCCCAAGUUGCGGCGUCGAGUUUGGGUGUGGGGAGGCUGAGGAGUUGGUGCGGGCCGUCAGGGGAGAGCGCGGGGAUGAGCAGGAUGAGGGAGCGCAGGACGCGGCCGAGCAGCACCGGCCGGAAAGAGGCGCUGCAGGAAAGGGUAUCGGCGGAGGGCGGCGCCGCGCCGGUGGCAGGGCUGCGCGCCUAGCGGCGGCGACGGCUGGAGACGGCGUUCGGCGCGUCGAGGAUGGCCACCGCUGAGCCACCCCGGGGCUGACCACCGCACGUGCUCGUGCUCCCAGGCGAACCAGUGGGAGCCAGGAGGCGAUUUUUUCGCCGAUAAGGGCGUCGAUGCUAAUGCGGCGAGCUCGUGGUGGAGAGCUCAAUGCCGCUCAGGAGGACGAUUUGGUUGGCAGCCGGCCUCGUUUGGAGGAGCGGCCGGCCUCGCCCGGAGGAGGGGGACAAGGGUCGUGGCGGCGGCGCCCGAGGCCGCGUGAAGCAGCAGGAGGUUAAGGUCGAGGCAGUGGCGAUGGUGCUUGCCCCGGCGGACCCGAAGGAGGAGGCGCGCGAUUUGCCUCCAUGGUCUGACUUCUCCCUCCUUUCCUCAGGUUUUGGUGGGGCGGCGCAUUUGGAGGAACUCCGGGAGCUCUGCUGGUGGCGGCGGUUGGAGUGGGUGGGGCGGCAGAAGCGAGCAGGACGGGAACGGUUGGCUGUCUGCCUGUCCCGUGCACGGCGGGGUGCUGCGUGACAGCUGCAGCAGGGUUUGGUCGUCCAGCAGAUUCACCGGCAGGGAAAGCAAUCACCAUUGGUAUUCGUGGACUCCAUGGCUGGCACAGCUCUCAAUAGUACAAACGGCCGGUGAGAGCAUCAAGAGGAGUGUCGCCGACGGCCAGCACCGAUCGAAACCCCACGGGGAGAGGCGACAUGGGACCUCCUUCCCCGAUCUGCUUCAGCUCGCAGAUGACUCAGGAAAGGCGGGAUUUAGAAGCAACAUCAUGGAGGUUGCAUGCUGGCCAGAGAUUUGGAGGCAGCAUCGUGGAGGUUGCAAGCCAGCCAUGGAUUUGGAUGCGGUGUCUAGGAUUUAGUUGGCAGUCUUGGCACAAGAAUUUGGAUAUCCAGGAGAUUCACCGACAGGCGACAGCGACAACAACCACCUUUGGUCUUCGUGGACUCCAUCGCUGCCCCAGGCUAUGCAAUCCAGGAAGGUUGGAGAAGAAACUGCAAGUAAAUUACCACAAUAUAUGGUUGUCAUCCUCCCUUAACUCAGUUAAAUUUACGUACAAUCCGAGGUUGUGGCCCUGCGAUGUGCUUGAGUGCUUCACACGAACUUCCUCCACCUAUGAAACUGCUUCAAUGCAUAAAAGUCUACUAUACGAGUGCCCGGAUGGCGAGAAGGUAGGCUUCCAGCUAAUAUUAGUUGCAUGAUAAGCAUGAUCGACCCACAGAUAAUCUGCAAGGCAUUUUCUUCAGACAAGUAAUUCCCUGACUACAGACCAACAACUCCUGGGAAUUAUAAGGAAGUGUUGAUAGACUCCUUCUUUUUUGAAAGUAACAUAUAUGAUACCAAACUUGUUUCCUGCAUGAUUUAUUAUUCAUUUCAUUAUGUGACUUCAGCACGUCAAUUUGUAUUUACUUGAUCCAUCAUUUGUGGUCCUUGGUUCUUUCUGUAACUUAUUACACUAUUAUUUAUCUCGCUGCUGGCUUCGUGUAUUCUGGUUAUUGAUGUUAGCCUAUAUUUUUUGUAAUGUCUCAAGUUUUGUCAUGUCUUUCACUAGCCCAUAAAUUAUUAUUUGUCUCUAGGUGCUGAAAUCUAUACAAUAUGGUUAGAAAAAUAAAGUAUUAUAUGUGGACUUACUAUCUCCUCUCCUAUUUUGUAAAUUUGGUCCUUUCUUUUCGUACCCUUUUAUUAUUAUUUUUGUGUAGAUAAUGGUCUCAGCAGUACAAAAAAGCUGAUUCAUUGCUUCAGCUGAUUCAUUGCUUUAGCUGUUGUUUGUUGUUGAUAGAUGUAGCUGCUGGUACACAGUACAAGCAACUUUCCCCAGCUGUUAUGAAUGUGCCUUCCCAUUUAAUUUCUGGAUCAAAAAGGAGGAUAAGGAUUCAAGAACCAUAAAUUCACUUGAAUAGCAGAAUAGGAUUAUGACCCCUAAAAAGAAACUGAGGGAAAUAAUGGAUCUUGACUAAAUUCUAAAGCAAAGCUACUGCAAAAUUUUAAUUAACUAAAUAUACUUGAUAGCAAACAAAAAAAGGCUUCUUCAGAUGAUGGGCUUAAUUUAGUCAAGUGGACUUAUUUAGUCAAGUGGACAGUAGUAUUACAGUUCCCAAAUCUGCAACACAAAACCUUUCUUCAGAUAAUGGACUUUAUUUAGUUAACUGUAUACCAUUAAUUGCUUCAGCCGUUGUUAGUAAAAUUCCUGGUCACUUAAAAAUGAUGGUUUGCCUACUUAUAGAUGUGCUUUUGAUCGUCUAGCAAGUAGUACUUUCCAUAGUUGCUUGCUGCUGAGCCCUUAGUAUGCCGCACAUGGAACUGUUCCCUUGCCCUCUUACAUUGGUAUAGGUGUACAGGUAGCUUGUAUUUUGCAGGUUAUAGGGGUUCCUUCUUGCUGCUGUGUGAAACAGAAUAAAAGGUCCGUUGAAGUAGUUCGAUGCUGUGAAAUUUUGUCUGCUUAUACUGCCCAAUCAGCUGAUUGCCUGCUAAAAAAUUCCACCUUAUCCAUAAGUUUGGUGUGGGAUAUCUAAUCAAGAAAAAAAACUAGGUGGGUGCCAUUUCUUAGAAUGUAUUUAGUGGGAGGGUCAUGCUUUUGCUUUUACGUACUAGAUGUUAUGAAUGGUCAGGACAUGCUCGUCCCAAGCAUGAAUGUUGUAAAUCACCCCUUCCACCUACAUUUUAUCCUCUAUUAUGUCCACUAUUAUAGUCAGCUGCCUCCCCUGGUCAUGCACGUUUCUUAUAGUGUGAGUCAUGCAUUCAUUUCUUGAUCAAGAUGAUGAUUCUGUGAAGAGUUGGUCUUGCUCAUGUUUGUCAAUGGAUGAAGCACGCCGAUUUGUUUGCUUUGGGAUAUUGCUAUCCACCUGCCAUCAGAAGAUGGUGCUGCAGUGUUUGAUGAUAUUUCUCGUAUUGAUAUCAUCACUCAAACUUAGAUAUGCUUCGGCAAGUAAUUUACUUUAUGAGCUUCUAUUAGAAUUAACUUAAGGAUGCCAUGUCCUGUUCUUCUAAUAAUGUGUAACUAUAGUUGUUCAUGAUCACAUACAUCACUUUUAUUGUGCAUUUUACUAUUUCAGUAAUUGGUUGUGACACUAUUCCUGCAAUGCUUAGGUUAAUAUGAACCAAAUCAUGUACUUAUCUGCUAUUAAGUGCUUGAUACACAGGCAUAACUAUUACAGUAUGAUGUAUAGUUUACAUUGUAGGAGAAAGGUGAAGGCAACACAAUGGCUAUUUUCAACUACUUAUCUGCUAUUUCAUUUCUUAACCAUCAGAUUUAAUAUUUUUGUUUCAUAGGAACUUAUCUUUUAUCAUAAAUUUGUUCGUGGAAGGCAAUCAGUAGAACUUCUAGAUGAAGAUAGGCUUAUCCUUCAGGUAUACUUAUCUCAUACAUGUUAUCUGAGAUAAAGAAAGAAUGUUUUUAAUAGUACCAGGUCCAUGGUUUGAAAAAGUUCCCACCUUGACCCUUGUUGGUUCUUCCUAUUACGCUAGACGUUAUCUUGAGUAAAUUGCUAAGAAAAUAUGUAGGGCUGGGGUAGUUCUUAUACACCACAACUGGGGUGGUACUGCACCAUUUUGUUCUUUUUCUUGAAUUCUAAGUACAUUAUUUCUUCCGUGCUCUCUCCAGGGCGAGUUUACUGAAGUGCGCAUACGCUAGAAGGCAGUGAUGCAAGAGGCAGUUAGUUUGCUGGGUGGAAUAGAGCCGAUUUAUAGCAGCGAAGCAUCUUUAUGGGAUCAGUGUAGUUAUUUUUCUUAGGUAUACAAAGAUGUUGUUUAGAACCUCAAAAAACAUAAGACCUAUAAUGUCGAGCUACUGCUUUCACGCCAGUGGAAUUGAUCGGCUAUAUUGGUGAUGCUGAAUGUAGAGAACCAAAUCAUCUCCCUCUCCUCUAGACCGUUUGGCAUACUACAGUCAUGGUAGUUGAAUUUUAUUGCUUCAAUGGAUGAUGUGCUGCCAAAUAUUGGGGUGACUGGCGGCGGCGACGACGGUGCAUUGGGCUCAUUGUUUCUCGAUUUCGGAUGUCAUAGGGAGUACACCUCUUGUGUGAAUUUACUAUCGCCAGGAGUCAGCGUUGAUUGCAACAAUGUUAAGUGAUGGGGCUUUCAGUUCUAGACCUGGGGAAGGGGCCUCAGGAUGCAUUGCUCGUGAUCAGAUGCGUCAAUUAUUUGCUGCGAAGGCCAUAUCUGGUACCCGAAGGCAGCUAAUGCCCUCUCUAUGGAGGCUCAUGCUAUUCGAGAUGGUGUGAUUCUGGCUAGGGAUCGGAAGGUGAUCAUGGAAACUGCUUGUCUGGUGCUCUCAAAGCUGUUGAACAUCAUGGAAACUGAUUCUCUGCUGCUCUCAAAGAUGUUGAACAAUGGUAACUUUAAGCGUUCAGAAAUUGCAUAUAUUAUCUAUGGUGUAAUGGAGCUUAGCCAGGAUUUUUCUGGGUUCUGUGUUGUUUUUAUUCGUAGAGCAGGCAAUGAUGCUGCACAUCUGUGUGCUCAAUACUUUGUUAAGGAAAGGCAAAGGUGCAUUUGGACCGAAUAUGCACUGGUUUAUCUGUAAUUGCCUUUCCGUUGAUUGUAACCCUGUUGCUAUGCAAUGAAAAGCUCCUUAAUCGUGUUUUU